AUGGCAGAGGGUUUUACUGCUGACGAAGUUUUCCAAGCUGGAGAACAUCUGUUGCUUGUGCCACCAAUCAAGCCUAGCUCGUGUUCUAAGAACAAACGAGCUUUUGGAAAUGGUUGGCUGGCAAGAAGAAUUGUAGACGCAGUGGCAGGACAAACUGUGAGCAAGUGUAAACCAUGGAAAGGACCACUGCCUAGUGCCAGGUGUUCGCAACCUUUAACCAUUGGUGAUAAACUAGCCGAAGCCCUCGCUGCGAUGCCCAGACUCCAAGCUCGGCCAGGUUCGAGCAAUUGGGCUGCAGGAAAAAGAACGGUGAAAGAAGUAGAGUUGAACUUGGAUCAGAGAGCUACGAAGUGCAGAGGAGAGAGGUUCGUAGAGAAGGAUUGUAGAGCGGCGGAGAAGGAAGGACAUGAGGUGAUCCUCGGAAAGGGAGUCGUGCAGCUGGAUGUUGGAGAAACCGAGGAAUCUGGUCAGCUACCUAAUUCAAAUUCCAAACGGUUGGAAUUGGGCGCACAUGUCAGACCCAUUUAUCUGGGAUCAGGGCGGCGACCAAUUCGUUUUUAUCCUGGAGUGGGCCGUUUGCUUUCGCAGGCUGGGAGGCAUCCUCGGGCGUCCAAAGAGAUGAAGCCCAGUGGCAUACUUGGGAAGGAGAAAAGCACACAGUCUUUACGUCGAGCGGCGGACGCUGGAGUUAUUAAUUCAUUCGCGAGCCAUCGCACACUUUCCAAACUGAGAGAAGCUGAACAGGUUACGGGGAGAGAACCAGGGCGAAGGUGCGAUCUGGGCGAAGCCAUGGCGCAGCAUGGUGGCUGGGGUUGGGAGAGAGGUGAUGAGUCACAGUGGGAGGAUGAUGAGAGUUUCUUUCAUGGGAGGAGAGAAGGUGAUGAGCGGCUCCGUUUCCAGCCGGGCGUAGGGUUUGGGCAGGGGAGUGGAGGAAGAAGCCGGCCGCCGUAUGGCUUCAGGUCAAGAGGGACCGGCGGGUUCAGAGCUCGGAGGGGUGGCUUUGCCGGAAGAUCAGGGCGCAAUCCGUAUGGUGCGCGCUUCCCUCGCGGCGGCGGCCGGCAUCAACAAGGCAGUUUCAAGCGUAACUUUGAUGCACUAGCGACGGGAAAAGGUGAAGGCAGUUGUAGAGUGACUGGCAGCGGAGAGAAAGGGAAGAAACAACAUGGCAUGGAACCAGGAAAGGAGGUAGGAGGAAGCAAAGGGGCUGGGCAGAUUAAGAUCGGUAAGGUUGAGGUUCCGGUGAACUCGGAGGCAAAGAAAGGAAAGAAAUCAGUUUCUGAGAAUGACGAAGAGGAAGAAUUGAUGGAGUUUGAAGGUGCUCAGCGGGAGUUUGGGGACAGAAAGGGAGAGGAUCCAAAAGGAAGUGCAAAGGUGAAGAUAUGCUCUAGGUGCACUCAGAAAGGGUAUGACUAUGCAGAUUGCAUGAUAGAUGUUUAUUGCGAUGUUUGCGAUUCAACCGAGCACGUUAUUCAUAAGUGCCCGGUUCUGAAAAUUCCAAAACCGGCGGUUCAAGCAGUGGGUUAUGCGGUUGAUGGCCUAGGGUUUCAUCACAUACCACAUCAACCACUACAAAGGAGCAAGAAGGGCACAAAGAAGGCACUUGUACGAGUUGUUGGUGGCUCUCUUUCUGUUGAAAGGUUAGUUGCUCUUUUACAAAAGCUGUGUCCAGCCAAAUGGAAAUGGGAACCAGUGCCACACGGGAAGGAAGCUUUUGUCGUUCUUUUCCCUUCGAAGGAAAACUCGGAAAGGAAGGAAAAUGAGGUGCAGGAAAGUGGGGAUCAAGGGAGAGAAGAUGUUAUUUUGGAGAUGGCUGAAAAUGUGUUGGAUGUGGCUGUUGAGAGAGUGCUAGGGGAGGUGUAUGAGAGGGUGGAGAGGGAAGAAGAGAAGAUAGAUGGAGCAGUUAUGCAGCAGGAAAAGGUUGAACAACUAGCUAACAUACAAGAGGUGUUGGUGACACCGAAAAGAGCGAGUGAGAGGUUGAUGGGCAGCAGUGGGAGGCACUCGCUUGAAAAGGCGAAAUCGAGGAAGGCUUGGAUGAAUCUCGAUCUUCUUUCA
rnacentral:lncRNA from 2 species